rnacentral:rRNA from 1 species
GUGCCAGCCGCCGCGGUAAUACGGAGGGUGCAAGCGUUGUCCGGAAUCACUGGGCGUAAAGGGUGCGCAGGCGGGGCAGCAAGUCGGAGGGGAAAUCCCACGGCUCAACCGUGGAAGUGCCUUCGAAACUGCUGCUCUUGAGUCCCGGAGAGGCUGUCGGAAUUCGUGGUGUAGCGGUGAAAUGCGUAGAUAUCACGAGGAACACCAGAGGCGAAAGCGGACAGCUGGACGGGUACUGACGCUCAGGCACGAAAGCGUGGGGAGCAAACAGGAUUAGAAACCCCAGUGUCC